UGUCACCUGUGUCUGUUCCUGCUGCUGAUCACAUGGACUACCUGUUACCCUGCUGCUGAUGUUACUGUCACUGAGUUUCAGUGGAUUUUAUUGGAUUGUAUGUUUUACCGCUUUGUUUUGCUGUCUUAAAUGUUCAAAAUGGAACAUUUUUUAAAGUCAACUGUAAAGGAUUUACCUCAGAGGAUACAGAAAAAAAGGUCGACAUCAUCGUUCCCUUAAUGAGACAUCAAAGGGCGUGCAGGGCCACUGCUGUGAUUUGGCGUCGGUGUGUGAAGGCGGUAUAAUGAAGCUCCUGGUGCAGCAGUGUUGGCUGAAAAACAUUCAAGUACAAUGAAGGAAUUAAGAGUAAAACCAAUUUCACAAAUCGUCCGACAGAUGAUCUGAUGAUGUGAGCGUUGUUUCUGCCAAUCCAUGCAAAACCUAAGGUGUGUACUCUGGGAUCUGUUACACACAACCCCUGAAACCCAGAUGCACAAACACAGGAACAGUAAUGUGAGCCGCCAUCUUUUCCCCUCAAGGCAGAUUUAUGCACAUAAAUCAUUUCCUACACUGUGUUUUGGGGGAUUUAUAGCAAUAAUAGGCCAUCUCUGCCAUUCCCAUCCUGUUUCUUCUGUGCAGUCCCUGGGAAAAACCUCAAACGUCUUAACUGCUGGUCAUAUUGGGUUUUCAACCGCAGUCUUACCUUUCCCUGACCUCACGGCCCUUUAAUUUAGUCAAGUAUUGGAGUGACAUGGUCUUGUAUUCUAUCACAGGUGUAGAAAAAAAAACAAAACAACGUAGUGGUUCGUUUAACUUCCAAGAUUCAGAAUAACGCAGCAGUGUAGUAGGGAAAUCGAAACAAAACUUUUUUUUUUUAAACACUAUUGUUACUGAAUCUGCCAUCAGCCAAAAAAAAACAAAGGUAAAACCUGAAUCACAUUUCACAGUAUUUCUGUCACCGCUUCAAUGACUUUAGCAGCACCGUUAAAGAGAUCGUCCAGAUAAAGAGCUUUUAUUAGACGUUUUAGGUCACUCCCUCUGAGGUGAGGACCUCUGUCGUACUUAC